rnacentral:rRNA from 1 species
UACAGAGGGUGCGAGCGUUGUCCGGAAUCACUGGGCGUAAAGGGCGCGUAGGUGGCUCGUUAAGCGUGUGGUGAAAGCCUGGGGCUCAACCCCAGGUCUGCCAUGCGGACUGGCAAGCUUGAGCAUAGUAGAGGCGGGUGGAAUUUCGGGUGUAGCGGUGGAAUGCGUAGAUAUCCGAAAGAACACCGGUGGCGAAGGCGGCCCGGCUGGGCUAUUGCUGACACUGAGGCGCGACAGCGUGGGGAGCAAACAGG